AGAAGUCGUAACAAGGUUUCCGUWRGUGAACCUGCGGAAGGAUCAUUG
rnacentral:rRNA from 1 species